rnacentral:rRNA from 1 species
UACAGAGGUCUCAACCGUUGUUCGGAUUCAUUGGGCGUAAAGGGUGCGUAGGCGGUCGCGCAAGUCGGAUGUGAAAUCUCAGGGCUUAACCCUGGACCUGCAUCGGGUACGGGCAGACUAGAGUGCGGUAGGGGAGAUCGGAAUUCCUGGUGUAGCGGUGAAAUGCGCAGAGUAUCAGGAGGAACACCGGUGGCGAAGGCGGAUCUCUGGGCCGUAACUGACGCUGAGGAGCGAAAGCAUGGGGAGCGAACAGG